CAAUAUGGCGGCUGUGGCAAAGUUUUCGCCGCCCGUAUGAGAAAUUCGCAUUCAUUCAAGAUUGAAUAGUUCACGAUAAACGCUAAGCGUAAUAAGCCUAUUUAGAUUACGUAGUUAACAUCGCGAGUGAAAAUUCGUUCGUGUCGUAACACGUCGAAACAGCCCGAUGCAGGUCGCGCGUAAUUCUCGUAGCUUAAAUCAUGACUUCGAUGCUAUCCAGCUUUAACCCGCCUAUCGUUAAGCGAUUGUUGGGUUGGAAAAAAGCAGAAGGAGAAGACAAAUGGAGUGAAAAAGCUGUUAAAAGUCUUGUAAAGAAGUUAAAAAAAUCCACCGGCCUCGACGAGCUCGAGAAGGCUAUUACUACGCAAAGUUGCAACACUAAGUGCAUUACUAUACCGAGGCCUAGCCCAGGCGGUGUCGGAGACAACGGUGUCCAAGGAGUGCGCGGCAAAGGUUUGCCGCACGUGAUCUAUUGCCGACUUUGGCGUUGGCCAGAUUUGCAAUCGCACCACGAACUAAGAGCAAUCGAGCAUUGCGAGUACGCGUUUACGCAGAAACGAGACGAAGUCUGCAUUAACCCGUACCACUAUCAACGAAUACAAACACCAGUUUUGCCAGCUAUUCUCGUACCUCGGCAUAAUUUAGCCGGGGACGAGUCCGUCCUUUAUAACACUUCCAUCGAGGAGCUCAGUGUCAGUGUGCCAGAAAACACGAGUUUCCACGCGACUUUAAAUCACCAGCACCAUAAUCAACAAAGUAUACCACAAUCGCCGCAACAGCAACAACAGCAACAACAACAACAGCCACCGAACAAUCCAUAUCAAGGAAUGCAGAGUAUGCAGGCAACAAGUCCGGCUAGUGUUGGUAGUCUAGGAAGUGUUCAGGGUUCACCACAUCCGGCACCUGGAUCUAUGGAUCCACCUGCUGAUACUCCUCCUCCAGGUUAUAUAAGUGAAGAUGGUGAUAACAUGGAUCACAACGAUAAUAUGUCCUUAUCGCGUUUGUCUCCCAGUCCUGUAGAUGCACAACCAGUGAUGUACUGUGAACCAGCAUUUUGGUGUUCAAUAAGUUACUAUGAACUAAAUACGAGAGUAGGCGAGACUUUUCAUGCAUCGCAACCGAGCAUAACGGUGGAUGGAUUCACUGAUCCCAGUAAUUCUGAACGUUUCUGUUUGGGUUUACUAUCGAACGUAAACCGAAAUACCGUAGUCGAACAGACGAGACGACAUAUCGGAAAAGGAGCUAGAUUAUAUUAUAUUGGUGGUGAAGUAUUUGCCGAAUGUUUAUCCGAUUCGAGCAUUUUUGUGCAAAGUCCUAAUUGUAAUCAACGUUAUGGUUGGCAUCCAGCCACUGUUUGUAAAAUACCACCUGGUUGCAAUUUGAAGAUAUUCAACAAUCAAGAAUUUGCGGCAUUGUUAUCGCAAUCGGUUUCACAAGGAUUCGAAGCUGUGUAUCAAUUGACUCGAAUGUGUACGAUCAGAAUGAGUUUUGUAAAAGGUUGGGGAGCGGCAUAUCGUCGGCAAACCGUGACGUCGACUCCUUGUUGGAUCGAGUUGCAUUUAAAUGGUCCAUUACAGUGGCUCGAUAGAGUACUCACGCAGAUGGGAUCGCCGCGUUUACCCUGUUCCUCGAUGUCAUAAGGUUGUAUGCUUUUCUCAUUGAUGGAAAACAGGGACGAUUUGCGUGCUGUCAUUGUCGUCAUCGUCGUUGUGUAAAUUGGUUUUUCUUACCGCGGAUUCAUUGUUUUAUCUGAAUAUUUUCCAACCACCGACUACAGUGAUAAACAGUGCAAGAAAAAAUAUACGAUUACUGUUUUCAUGAAGCGUGUAUGUGUAUCCUACCUUGAAAAGUGUACGGAAUACGAAAUCGUUUUCGCGUUCAAAGUGCCAGGAAAGCAUUCGAUCGGACGAAUGGAAAUAAAACUGGCGAUUGAUUAGCUUAUAGGAAUGUUCAAGUGCUCAAAUCGCGAUGGUUCAUCGAUGUUUCCUAUGAAGAUUAAGGAAAGGACGAUGUGUGGGCAAAAGAGUGCAGACAAGACCGGUUCAAAAUAACAUUCACACAGGUAUCACCUAUACAGAAAACCAUUUUUUCAUUAAACUGGAACAUUAUGAUCAAGAAUACUAAAUAACAAAAUAAGUAGAUAUUGUUGACUCACUUAUCGCACUUUCGAGUGGAUAUAGUGCUACGAUCCAGGGUUACAAAUCCGAUUUUAACCGAAUUAAGAGAGUGAAAAACAAGCGCGAUUCUAUAUGUAUAUACAUAUAUAUAUAUUUGCUUAUAUUUAGAAUCAUAAGUAUAAGUGCAUAUAUAUAUAUAUGUGUGUGUAUAUUACAUUAAAAAAGAAACUCAGUCUUUACAUAUUUUUAUCGCUUGUUAAGCAAUGCACUCCAAUCGUACAGUAUACGUUAAACCUUACAAAAUGAUACAUACUAUGUACAUUUACACAAUUUAUAGUCAACUGAAAAUAAUUUCUAUAGAAUGGGUAAACUUGUAUACCCGUUGAAAAGUUUCUAACUGGUCUAUUCAGAGUCAUUGUCAGUGUUUUUCCUACGAAUAAAACGUUAAAAAAGAAAUACAUCUAUGAAGUCUAUUUCUUUUAUAUAAUAAUGAUAAGGAAAGAUUACAGUGUUCAAUAUGUAUGUAACUAUUUACACGGUUUGUUAACAUUACUACAUCUUCGAAUGGACCAGAAUGUUCAAAUAUUCUCCCAAUGGAUCGCAUCAGGACGGAUAAUUAUGUUUCUACUGUAUUUGGAGGUUUUGAAUGAAUGACUUACCUUUUUUUACAUCGUAAGAUCAAGAGACAUGACAGUGACAACGAUGAUUCGUGAACUUACCAAUUACAAAUUUUUGACGAAUGAAUAAUGUUCCAACUGUAUGUUGCACUACCAAUUCUAGAAGAAUAUCGAAGAGAGGACAAGCUUGGGCAGUAGCUAUGGAAAAAAAUAGUCUAAAAGACGCAAGAUUUCAAAUCAUAUUAUAUUGAUUCUUAGAUAGUGUUUUAUUACAUAGCCUAAUGGCACGAAUAUGUUCGUCUUUUACGAGGAUAUUUUUUAUUUUUAAUCAGCAUACAUCUAAUAUUUAAUUCAUGAGGAAAGAUUGAUAAUAUCGUAAAAAGUUAUUUAAAAUUAAUAUAUUUUCAAAUGCAAAGAACCGAGUAUUAAAUACACUUCGUGAAAGUCGAACACAAUAUCGUCGGGCAGCUCGAGUAAUCGAAUAGUAGUAAGAAAGAGGUGAAAAAGAAAAUAGCUGUUAAUUACAAAGAUAUAAGAUUCAUACCUCUCAGAAUUCAUAGUAAUUGGUACUGUCUCGCAUAAGAAAAAAUUAAAAUUUCUAAUCAUUGAUAUAAUAUUUAACAACCACUUGCCUCUCUGCCAGACUGCCAUUAGCGUAUUAAUUAAGGAAAUAUUUAACUAGGGGAAUCGAAGAACUCGUCCUCAUUUUUCUUCGUUGUCCUCGGAUUCCUACUCGUUCAUUUUAUGUUAGCAUAAGAUCAAAAUAUGUCUAUAAGGUGAAAGAAGAGACAGACCAUUAAGAAACGCGUUUUUAAUUCGCCGCCAAAGUAUAUUAAGUGUAGCAAUUGCCAAAGUUUUUUCUGUAAAUACAAGAAUAUCGAGUCGAUUAGUUUACAGUAGUUGUGAUUCAAUCGUGCACGAAUUAUUAAAUUAUCAGCGCUGUCGUGCUUUCUUUCUUGAAAAUUUAUAAUUGUUAUUAUUGUUAUAAUCGUACUAUAUUGUUAUGUUUUUUCAUUUUGUAUGUUUAAUGUCUUGACCUGCCGAAAAAUCGAGCGGUCCGACGAUUAUGUAUUUUUAAUUCUAUAGCUACUUAUAUAUUUUGUGUGCUAAUAGCUCUGCAUGCACACAAAGGGAAGGAUCGACUAAAGAAUAAUUUCUACAAAACAAAUAUUUUUUUACAUAUUAAGAUGACGUGAAAUUCUUUUACGUACGAUAUAUGUAUUUGACGACAAUUAUAAAUCGGUCGAUGUUUCCCUGGUGUGGAUGAGAUGAUUUUUGAGAAUACGAGUUAAAAGUAAGAAGUUGGAAGAACGAACGUAGGAAUGUAUGAAUGAGAUUGCGUCAAGAAAUAUAGAGUGUGAGACUGUAAAAUAAUUAUAAAUAAAUAUAUACGUUAUAAGUCUAA